CCUACGGGAGGCUGCAGUGGGGAAUAUUGCACAAUGGGGGACACCCUGAUGCAGCCAUGCCGCGUGUGUGAAGAAGGCCUUCGGGUUGUAAAGCACUUUCAGCAGUGAGGAAGGGAUGUGUGUUAAUAGCGCGCAUUCUUGACGUUAGCUGCAGAAGAAGCACCGGCUAACUCCGUGCCAGCAGCCGCGGUAAUACGGAGGGUGCGAGCGUUAAUCGGAAUUACUGGGCGUAAAGCGCAUGCAGGCGGCGUGUUAAGCCAGAUGUGAAAGCCCGGGGCUCAACCUCGGAAUCGCAUUUGGAACUGGCAGGCUAGAGUCUUGUAGAGGGGGGUAGAAUUUCAGGUGUAGCGGUGAAAUGCGUAGAGAUCUGAAGGAAUACCGGUGGCGAAGGCGGCCCCCUGGACAAAGACUGACGCUCAGAUGCGAAAGCGUGGGGAGCA
rnacentral:rRNA from 1 species